rnacentral:tRNA from 1 species
GCCCAGGUGGCGAAAUUUGGUAGACGCACCACCUUGAGGUGGUGGCGCCGGAAACGGUGUGCUGGUUCGAAUCCAGUCUUGGGCA